AUUCCUGUUUUACUACCGCUCAUCUGACUCCCCAGAGAUGAGUGGCUAUGCUAACGGGAUAGAGUCUCUCCAUCGUUGUCUGAGGAGGUUUUGGCGGCCUCCAUUCCGCUAUCUCUAAAUGCAAUGAUGGCACAUGUCCAG
ensembl:snoRNA SNORA29 small nucleolar RNA SNORA29